UACAGAGGUCUCAAGCGUUGUUCGGAUUCAUUGGGCGUAAAGGGUGCGUAGGUGGCGCCGUAAGUCGGGUGUGAAAUUUCGGAGCUUAACUCCGAAACUGCAUUCGAUACUGCGGUGCUUGAGGACUGGAGAGGAGACUGGAAUUCCUGGUGUAGCGGUGGAAUGCGCAGAUAUCAGGAGGAACACCGGUGGCGAAGGCGGGUCUCUGGGCAGUAACUGACGCUGAGGAGCGAAAGCGUGGGGAGCGAACAGG
rnacentral:rRNA from 1 species